GAGUUCCUACGGGGGGCAGCAGUGGGGAAUAUUGGACAAUGGGGGGAACCCUGAUCCAGCGACGCCGCGUGAGUGAAGAAGUAUUUCGGUAUGUAAAGCUCUAUCAGCAGGGAAGAAAGAAAUGACGGUACCUGACUAAGAAGCCCCGGCUAACUACGUGCCAGCAGCCGCGGUAAUACGUAGGGGGCAAGCGUUAUCCGGAUUUACUGGGUGUAAAGGGAGCGUAGACGGCGAUGCAAGUCUGAAGUGAAAGGCGGGGGCCCAACCACAGGACUGCUUUGGAAACUGUAUGGCGGGAG
rnacentral:rRNA from 1 species